GCAGCUGGCGGGAAGCGCCGGGACCUGGGGGGCAUGCCUGGACCUGGGGGAGGUGUCCUUGGCCUGGGAGAUGCAAAUGCCCUCUCCAGGAGCGGGAGCACAGGGCCGGAUAUGGGGACCACACCCCCACCUCCUCCGGUCUGGUCUCCAGGGCUGACCCCCCAGGCUCAUUGAUCCCUGACGUGAAGCAGCUGGGGAAAACGAGGCCCAGGGACACAUGCAAACAUCCACCUGUAACCACAGUGUGACCUUCCACCAGGGGCAGCUACAGCCCCAGCCGGGGAAUCGAGCCCAGGGAGGGACAGACUGUGCAGGUGCGACACCCCAUAAUAAGUCCUGCUAUGAGCCCCAGAGGCCUCUGGGACAGGAGCCAUCUUGGAAAGCUUCUGUGUGCACACCUUAGUGAACAUAUCCCCACCUAUGUCUAUGAAUAAACAUGAAUCUUUUCCCGCCCAAGAACUUUUAAAAACUCAGGCCGUCUUUUGUUCUGUGAGACGGGGGUAUGCGUUGCUCUAGGCCCUCCUUGUUUCCGCAUGCAAGCCUCUUCAAUAAAGCUUUGCUCGUGUGAAAAACUACAUGCCUUACCUGCUCAUUCUUGACCAGCAAGAGGCAAACCAGCUAGAGCCAGAUUUGGUGUGUGCACUAUCAAACAGUGACCUGAAGGUGAAUCCUACCUCCAUGUUUUCACCACAAGCUGCCAUUUUCUUGGGAACACACAGAUGUCAAGAGUACAGGAGGCGCCAUCUUGAGCCACCAGUUGUGCGGGCAGUUUCCACACCCAACCCACACCUCUUUUGAAUAUGCAUACCAUUUUGGUGGUAUAGUGGUUAAGUGCUAAGGCUGGUAACCAAGAGGUUGGCAGUUCGAAUCUGCCAGGCGCUCUCUGGAAACUCUAUGGAACAGUUCUACUCUGUCCUCUAGGGUAUCUAUGAGACUCGAUGGCAGUGGGUUUUUUUUUUUUUUGGUAUGACUUCCGCUUUGCUGAAUAGCAUAAAGCCUCCUCCUCCUCCUCCGGCCCUUUGUUCAGCGAGACAGUGCUUUGAGAACGAUCUCCCUGUCUCCUUGCUGGCUGCAAGCAAUAAGCUAUGCCUUGCAUGACUCUUAGUUAUUCUUAACAGGAGCACAGGCGGCGAACCCAUUGUGUUGCGUAACAAAUUCCUGGUGACUGAGUCACCAAUUAAACAUCCAGAAUCAACUACCUGAGCAGACCAAACUGUCCCUGGACAGAUGAAGUGGCCACCUGGACUCCUUUUGUUCAGCGCCCCUCAGGCUGGAGUGGAUGUAGACAUUUUCAUCUGACUUGAUUCGAAGAUUGAAAUCCCUCCGCCUGGAUCUGAAUAAGCCCAUGGACAUUGAUUGGUGGAAAGAAAUUCAGGUUGAAUUAGAACAUAAAGUAUAGAGAUUUUUGGAGAAAUCUGUAGAUUAGUCAAGGGAAAGAGAUGUCUGGGGAGAACUAAUAUAAUAGACUAGAGUGGGUUCAGUGACAAAGCCGGGAGGACGCUCCAGUCAGAGUAUUGGUUCCAGAGGAAAGUUCUCUUCCGGAGUUGGGAAAAUGCCUGGCUUCGACGCAAAUGCCAGAUAAAUCCCUGGUGGGCUAGGGAAAAAGAGUUAAUGGUUUCGGCCACCCAUAAGAGUAAGAAACGAGCUUCUUGGAAACAAUUAACUGAACAAAAUGGGAAACCAAAAAAGCCGAGAAAGCCUACCGGUGGACUCUCCCUUGGGAUGCAUUCUUAAGCAUUGGAAGUAUUUCUCUCAUGGUCAACUAAAAAAGAACAAGCUUAUCUGUUUUUGUAACACUACCUGGCCUCAGUAUACCCUUGCUGACCAGGAGAAGUGGCCCGUGCACGGGACUCUUAAUUUUAACACUCUUUUACAGCUAGAUUUGUUUUGCAAAAGAGAAGAAAAAUGGGAUGAGAUCCCCUACGUUCAAGCCUUUAUGGCUCUGUACGGGAACAAGAGGUUACAAGCCAAAUGCAAACUAACCUGUGUGGCCCUAGCCACCGAAGAGCAAUCAAAGAAGCCUCCAAGGGGAUCCGGGGAACCAGAUCUUUUGGAAGACCCCCUUCUUAACCAAGGCCCUGUUCUGGCCCCAGCAAUACCCCCACCUGAUCCUACAGAAUACCUCCCUCCCUCCUGUCUCCCUACUGUCUCUGAUCUGGCCCCCAAAACCCCAUCCAUCCCACCUUCCCUCACCCCAUAUCCGGAACCCACGGCAUCUCUUGUGCUCGGCCCUAAUGAGCUCCCUUCCACUCCUAUGGACCUCUGCCCUCGCAAUCUUUAUCCUUCCCCUGAAGAAUUUAGGAAGACCACAGGGGGAGUUUUGUGUGUGCAAGAGGCAGUGGAUGGACAGGGCGGGGUUGUCCAGGUGCAGGUCCCAUUUUCAGUUUCAGACUUAAGUAUUUGUAAAGAAAAGCUGGGCAACUUUUCAGAAAACCCAGAAAAAUUCAGAGAAGAGUUUGUCAAGCUCAGUCUUAACUUCACUCUCAGCUGGCAGGAUGUGAUAGUAAUUUUAACUACCUGUUGUACUUCUGACGAGAAAAAUAGGAUACUUGCAAAGGCAAGACAGCAUGCUGACAGCUUUAGCCCCAUUAACCCCAGGCACGAUAUUUUGAGACUAGGGAAUGAGGCAGUUCCCCGGACAGACCCUCAGUGGAAUUACCAGGACCAACUAGAUCAGGAAAGAAUGAAAUAUUUUAUAACCUGUGUGGUUGAAGGAAUGCAGAAGUGCAUUUACAAGCCAGUUAACUAUUCAAAAAUCGGAGAAGUAACUCAAGGAAAGGAUGAAAACCCAGAUGCCUUCUUGAGUAGGCUGACAGAGAACUUUAAGAAGUUUACCAACAAAGACCCAGAGGCACCAGAGACUGCCCUUCUGCUGGGUUAUCACUUUAUAACUCAGAGCGCCCCAGAUAUUAGGAGGAAGCUCCAAAAACUGAAGGGUGGACCCCAGACCCCAUUGUCCGAGCUAGUAGAGGAAGCCUUUAAGGUGUUCAACAACAGAGAAAAGGCAGAAGAAGAAGAGAGAGACAAGAGUCUAGACAGAAGAGCCCAGUUGUUGGCUGCAGUUAUCCAGGGACCAUGUCAAGGUAACCUCCGAAGACCUGGGCCAUUGCAGGUAAGGGGCCAACGAGACAGGCCUUGGAGCCGCCCUUCAGGGCUUCCAGCAAAGCUGGGGCCCCAACAGUGUGCAUAUUGCAAGAGAGAGGGACACUGGAAACGGGAGUGUCCAUGCCGUCCUCAGCCAGGACGGCAUGGUCACUGCCCCAACGGUAACCCCAAACUGCAGAUGCCAGAACUCUCCAAGUGCCAAGGCCCAGAGGACCGCCUGGUUCCCUCUGAACAGCAACAAGCGAUCUCCGUCCCCCCUGCGGAACCUGAGGUUACCUUCAAAGUGGCAGGUAGGACAACGGAAUUUUUACUUGAUAUGAGAGCUGCCUACUCGGUCUUGAACAAACCUAUUGGCAAACUCUCCAGCCAUGACUGUGUGAUAACGGGAGUCUCAGGACGGCCCCAGGCUAAGAGGUUUACCUUCCCUUUAUCCUGUGAGGUAGGUACACGUACUCUAUCUCACUCUUGCCUGUCUAUACCUGAGCAUCCAGUUCCUUUGCUCUGUAGUGACCUAUUGACCAAAAUAGGGGGUGCUGUUCUCCUCUCUGGGGAUCAAGUUACUGUAGAAAUGGACAAAAGUCAAGGAGCAAGACUUCCAGCACUCCUUGAGACAGGGAAUUCUGCACAGAAGGUGCCUGAUAUCCCUCAACAUAUACUAAAAGAAGUAAAUCCUUUGGUUUGGGAUGUGAACAGACCAGGGAGAGCCAACAGCGCGGAUCCUGUCCGGGUUGAACUGAAACCUGGAGUUGCUCUCCCUUGGCGCAAACAACACCCACUUAAGCCAAAGGCUAUAGCUGGGAUUAAGCCAGUAUUAAAAAAGCUUCUCAGACAAGGGCUUAUUGAACCUUGUCAGUCCCCCUGCAACACGCCCAUCUUACCUGUUAGAAAGCCUAAUGGAGAAUAUCGCUUCAUGCAGAAUCUAAGCGCAGUAAAUGAAGCUGUAGUAACAAUUCCCGCGCUGGUCCCCAACCCAUAUACUCUGCUUACCCAGGUACCUGCUACUGCCACCUACUUUACUGUGUUACAUCUAAAGGAUGCUUUCUUUUGUGUACCCCUGCACCCCGAUUCCCAAGAGUUAUUUGCUUUUGAAUGGGAAGAUCCAGACACCAGGGAGAGAACUCAGUUUAAAUGGACAGUCCUUCCUCAAGGUUUCAAAAACUCUUCUCACCUUUUUUGUUCAGUUUUGGCUAAAGACCUCAGAGAUUUAAAGCUGGAAGAGGGGAUAUUACUCCAGUAUAUAGAUGACUUAUUAAUAGCCAGUAAAGACCAAAACAGUUCGGACAAGAAUGCCAUUAAGGCCCUGAAUCAUUUGGCAAACCGAGGCUACAGGGUUUCCCGUGUCCAAAUCACACAGAAAAAAGUGAAAUAUUUAGGGUUCCAGCUCUCUUCAGGCAUUCGACAACUGCUGCCUGAAAGAAUAUUAGCCAUAACUUCCUUCCCAGCCCCAACCACGCGAAAGCAAUUACGACGAUUUUUGGGCAUGGCUGAAUUUUGUAGAAUCUGGAUACCCAACUUUGGGCUAAUAGCAAGACCCUUAUAUGAGUCUCUAAAAGGGAAAGAGAGCCAACACUUAGAAUGGACUCAGGAGUGCGAAAAAGCGUUUGAAACCAUCAAGCUAGAAUUACAUAGAGCUUCCGCGUUGGGUCUCCCAGACUUAACAAAACCUUUUAGGUUGUGUGUUCAUGAAAGAGAAAGACAGGCCCUAGGAGUACUCACCCAACAAAUUGGCCCUCUCACUAGACCAGUUGCCUAUUACUCUAAACAACUAGACCCAGUGGCACGGGGCUGGCCAGCCUGUUUGCGGGCAGUCGCUGCCACUGUGAUCCUGAUUAAAGAGGCAUCCAAGUUUACUUUGGGACAACCUAUGGAGGUGCUGACACCCCAUCAGGUUCAGACUGUUUUAGAAGUUAAAGGAGGGAAUUGGCUUUCGGGAAGGAGAAUAACCCAAUACCAGGCCAUAUUAUUAAAUUCCCCCGAAGUGACUCUAAAGGUUUGUCAGGCUUUAAAUCCUGAUACUCUCCUGCCUGCUACAACCUCAGAAGAUAAUGAGCUGACCCAUAACUGUAUUGAAACAAUAGACCAAGUUUAUUCCAGCAGGUCCGGAUCUGAAAGACAAUCCCUUAGAAAGUACAGAUGAAGACUGAUUCACUCAUGGGAGCGGUUUUGUGGAACAAGGUAUCCACAGAGUGGGAUACGCCAUAGUAAGUUUACAUGACAUUAUAGACGCCCAGCCUUUACCUCCUCAAACCUCUGCACAAAAAGCCAAGCUUAUUGCCUUCACUUGAGCAUCGCGAUUGGUGAAAGACAAGAAAAUUAACGUAUAUACAAACUGCAAAUAUUCCUCCAACAUACAUGCUCAUGGGGCUAUUUGGAAAGAAAGUGGCCUCUUAACUCCAAGAACGCACUCAUUAAGUACGGUAGCCUUAUUUUAGAACUUCUAGAGGCAGCGCAGUAACCCACUGAAGUGGCUGUUAUACAUUGUAAGGGAUGUCGGAAAGAGAACACUCCAGUUUCUUGGGGUAACAAUGAAGCCAACACUGUUGCUAAGAAAGAAGCUUGGGUACAGCCCCCCAGUGACCCAGAUGGCCCUUAUUCCUGACAUCAGCCUGUCAACUGUUAAACCCCAGUAUAUAUAGCCCAAGGGAUAUUCAGGAUGCAGGAAUUCAGGGAUUUGGGAAACAGACCAAUGGUUGGUAUUAGAAUGCAAAUAAAAGGGUUUAUAUUCCCAGCUGUCAACUCUGGAAGGAGGUUAAGGCAACCCAUGAGGCCAGCCAUUAGGGUCAGGAGAUUUUGCAUCUUCAGCUUAAGACCUUAAUACAGGGAAGAAACUUAAAGUGAUACAGCACGUUUCUAAAAGUUGGUGAGUAUUUGGGUUGCGUUAAAAAACAACCCAAACACUCACCCAACACCUCCUCCCUUAGUAAAACCUGUUCAACAUCGGGGAACAUACCCAGGGGAGGAUUGGCAAGUAGGUUUUACAAUAAUGCCCCCAUGCCGAGGGUUCAGGUAUCUAUUGGUCUUCCUAGAUACCUUUGCAGGAUGGGUAGAAGCCUUCCCUGCUAAGACUGAGAAAGCCACUGAAUUACGUAAAUGGCCUCUAAAAGAAAUCAUUCCCAGACCCAGCUUGCCCCUGUCCCUCCAGAUGGACAACAGCCCUGCAUUUACUGCCAAAAUAACUCAGAAUUUAUCCCAAACCUUAGACAUCAUGUAUAAGCUCCACUCAGCAUGGAGACCUCAGUCCUCAGGAAAGGUGGAGAGAAUGAACGAAACUUUGAAAAGAACUCUUGCAAAGCUAUGCCAAGGAACUCAAGAAAUCUGGGUUAAUAUGUUGCCCAUCGCUUUAAUCAGGAUAUGGGCCACCCCCAGAGGAACUCUAAAGUUAAGCCUGUUUGAAUUGAUUUAUGGAAGACCUUUUCUUAAGGCAGAUGAUCUUUCGGCUCAGGAGAUGUAACAAACAUUAAAAUAUAUCAUUAAUGUAGGAGAAGUGCAGAGAGUACUCCAAGAAUACGGCAACCAGAUACUCCCUGAACCUACAAAGGGUGACUUGCUCUAAUUCCAGCCAGGAGACUUGCUGCUUUUAAAGUCUUGGCAAGAAGAGAGCCCGGGAGACCAACUGGCUGAAAAAUGGGUAGGCCCGUAUCAGGUAUUAUUAACAACUCCUUCUGCUCUCAGGUUAAAAGGAGUCACUCCGUAGGUCCAUCAUUCUCAAGUACCUUUCUUGCCACCUGAAAACCCUGAAGAACCGCCUGUGAAUCAAGAGUCCUAUACCUGUGAACCAGUUGAAGGACUUAAGUGGCUGUUCAAAAGAUGGAAUGAGGACCGGUAGAGAAGUAUCAUGAGAAUAAGUGUUGUAGAAAUAUUAGGAGUUAUUUUUGUCUUGACCCUUUUAUUAGUUUUUAUUUUAACCCUUGCCUGUGUUGUUCCCCAUUUUGGACAAGCCUUAUGCAUUCUAGUGUAUGCUUUAAUGAGCCGGUGCUGAGUCAUUUCAAGUGUAAGUAAACCUAACAUCAACUGCAAUUAUGACUAUCUUAAUUUAGUUUUAAUUUCCAACCUUGUUCCAUUAACCCAUCCAGCUUUAACAUUAAGUAAUACCAACUAUUUAGUCAGUGCUUCCCAAACGGUUGCCUUGGGGAACAGUUUAACACAUUGUUGGAUCUGUUACCAAACUCCAGCAACAACUGAACAAGGAACCCACCUGCCCUGGUUGUUGGCCACACCCCUGGAUAAUGAGACUUUAACCUCCACAGUUAAAGCCUUUGGAGCCCAGCAUCCACUACCCAUAGCCCCUUUUCAAGUGUCCCCUUUGCCUGUUGAAGGGGGCCAAAACUCUUGUUUUUACACUUGGCAUCUACUAAUGUGGAAUAAUUUUAUUCCCCAACUAUCCACACCUAGAGUGUCCUGGACGUGCAUGUCAGAGACAGCUGCAAUGUCCAGUAGUCUCCAAGUAUUUAACCCCAGCUCAACGUGCGCCAGAGACAUUGCAAAUAAUCAUAUUUCCUUCGAAAAGGCAGUAAGCAACCUUAGAGAAAAAAAAAAGAUACCCUUUAGGAACCUACCCUGGCUGUAAACCCUCAGUAACACUAUCCAUGAUCCAUGAGUCAUGGUUAAAACCAGUGUUUACUCACCGCAGUUUGUCUAACCUUACCGCAAACAUUACAUACAUCUGCCUUCCAAAACGCCUAAAGUUCCUUUGUGGCAACACUGCCUUGACCUGUAUAAACCCUCUAACAGAAGAUGGAAUCUGUACCAUAGGCUUUGUAUACCCAAACCCUGAACUAACAAGUGUUUCAAGCCCCCAAACGAACUAAGUGAGGAAUUGGGCUCAUUAUAGCAGGAGUAGUAGCCCUUGUAGGGACAAUAACAGCAACUUCAGCAGGAUUUAUUUACCAAAGUUCAGUCAUCUCCGAUAUCACUGAGUCAGUGAAACCAUCGCUCAAGACUCAGGGGAAGGCAUUUGAGCCUUCAACCUUGCCCUCAAUUCCCUUGUUAGACUGGUAUUAGACCACUGAAUUGCCUUUGACUUUCCACUCGCUGAACAAGGUGGAGUAUGUGCCGUAGCCAACACGAGCUGUUGUACAUAUGUAAAUGCUACAGGCCAGAUAGAAAUUACAGCAAAAAAUCUGCUUAAUGCAGCCUUGUGGCUCCACCGGUUCAGCCAGGAUCAAACUAAUUCAAAAAUUUGGGAAACUAUCAGAACCCGUCUGUCACUAACCCGGUUCUUGCCAUCACUUGGUCCUCUAGUUGCCAUUUUGUUACUUCUUUUUGGUCUUUGUCUGUUUAACUUAUUAGUCACAUUUGUAUCCUCCAGGAUUCAAAAGUUCCAGCUCCAAAUGGUGGUUGCUAAGGGAUUUCAACCCAUCCCCCACCAAGAAGAAAAACAGCAGCCUGGUCAAGGGCCAGUGUGGAUACAGGAAAGAUAUGACAGUUUAGCUCAGGCAGCAAGAGAAUUCCACUCCUCUAACCUGUAGGCCUCUACGUCCCAUGUCAGCAGGAAGCAGCUCCAGAAGAAGAGACCUCCAUCCUUAAACCCCUCAAGAAUGAGGAGUGUGAAUUUCUCAGGGUUGGGGCAGGGCGGGGCGGGGGGGACUGAGACUAGCUAGGAAAUAGGCCCUGAGCCGAAAGCUGCGGCAGUGAAAGAUUUUACAAAGCAACUAUAAGCAUAUUGCAGUUAAGAUCAAGAAACACCCCACCCCAUUUCCUUUUAAUUUUCCUGCUUACAGUUAUUUUUCAGGCAAACUGGCUACAGCCAGUGCACGUGCUAUGAAACAGUAACCUGAAGGUGAAUCUGACCACCAUGUUUUCAGUAUACGCUGCCAUUUUCUUGGGGACACACAGAUGUCAAGAGUACACAAGGAGCCAUCUAAAGAGAACACAGGCCACCAUCUUGAGCCAUCAGUUGCGCCGGCAGCCUACACGCCCACCGCACACCCCUUUGGACUAGACAUGCCAUUUCCCAGAAAUUUAAUGAAUGUGUAUGAUUUCCCCUUUCCUGCAUCGCAUAAAACCUCCUCCACCCCUUUUUUCAGAGAGACAAUGCUUUGAGAACGAUCUUCCUGUCUCCUUGCUGGCUGCAAGCAAUAAACUGCCUUGCUUUAAAUCCACAUGACCCUUAGUUAUUCUUAAGAGCACAGGCGGUGAACCUAUCAUGUUCAGUAACACUACCUUGCAGCCCAAGUCACUCACCAGCAUGGAGUGCAGCAUGGGGACUCGGUGGGGCCACAAGCAGGGUGGGCUCGCGUGAUGACAGCACAGCAGGGCAGGCAGGGUGGGGCCCACAGA